rnacentral:tRNA from 1 species
GCUGGUUUGGCUCAGUGGAUAGAGCAUCAGCUUGCAGACUGAAAGGUCCCGGGUUCGAUUCCCUGACAGGGCA